UUUUGGAGCCAUGUCCACAGACUCUGCUCGAGAUGUGUUCGAUCCAUGUGGAGAGAAUACUUUACCAAGGUCUCAAGAUUAAUCAAAGUAUGUAUAGACUGACUUCGACAUCCGAUCAUUAAAAAAAAAAAAAGAAGUUAUUGUUAGAAAAAUGGAGAGAGUGCUCACACUUUGAAUUGCCACAAUUAGAAAAUGAGUGUGAAAGAGAAAUUCAAAUGAAAAUUAGAGAACCAAACUACUAUUUUAUCAAAUGCAAAUUAAUCACAUUUUCUUUUCCUAUAUAUUUUUCUCCCUCCCAUCCAAACAGUACAAAAAUAAUAUUUUACAUAACAAAAGCAAGCCACUGGUCAAAUAAAGGCAAUAGACGCCACACACACAUAUAUAUAUAUAUAUAUAUAUAUAUAAUAUACACACAAAUCGAAUCUACCCCAGAUGGCUGCGUCAAUGAGUAAUGUUUGCAACGGAGACGUACUACUUUUACCUUCUUUAUGUAUAUAACACAUAGUUUUUACUUACAACGACUUGGAUAAAAUGCUCAGACUCAUGAAUCAGAGUUUCUCUGUUUAUAUCCUACCUCUGAUAUUCUUGCUCAGUACAUAUAUAUUGCAGUCCCAUCAAAAUCUCCUCCAUUCAAUCCUACUUCAACAUCAUCACUCAGGAUAAAAUCGGGGUUGAUCUUAUUGGUUUUGUUAAAUUAUUUGAUGGGAUCAUACAAGGAAGAAGAGAACAGAGAUGGGAUUAGCUACAACAGAUUUAGGAAGAUAGUGAAGGCAUGCGUAGCUUGCUUGGCUUCAUUCUUGAUAAGCAUGGUUGGAGGGUUGAUCUUGGUUUGGUGGGUAGUGAAGCAUCAUCACUCAAAUACCCAGCUUUGGAUGGUCCCUGUUGGUCUCAUUAUUUUCAUCACACCGGUCAUCGUCUUCUUCUCCACCUUCAUUUCUGAUCUCUGUAAACCUAAAGAAGCCGGUGUUUCGCGCCUCAACCACCCCGUUAUGCCCUUGGAUAACUCAGUUGGUGACCCAGAAAGAUGAUGAUCCAAGAAAAUAUCACAAUAAUCAACUCUCUUCCACCACUCUUUUUUUUUUUUUUUUAAAUAUUUUUUUGUGGGUUUUGUUGCUACAAUAUCACAACUUGUAAUGCAUUGCUUAUAUGUGAGUUAUAAAAGACAAAGUAUGCUGAUUAUUGCCGA